rnacentral:lncRNA from 1 species
AUUGAACUCAGGGGCACUCAACCACUGAGCCACAUCCCCAGCCCUAUUUUGUAUUUUAUUUAGAGACAGGUUCUCACCAGUUGCUUAUUGACUCUUGGUCGCUGAGGCUGGCUUUGAACUUUCGAUCCUCCUGUCUUAGCCUCCCGAGCUGCUGGGAUUACAGGUGUGCACACAAUGCACUGCCUGUAACUGACUGCCUGUAUCUAGGUUUUAUCUAGGUUUUUUCUUCCAAUUUUUAUUUAUUCAUGUUUCAGAACUUAAAUCCAAAGAGACAUGCAGAGCAAGAAAGUGUUGAAGAGGACAAAGUCCUGAAGAAAAAGACAUCAGCCAUACAAGUAUCUUUUACAGAUUCCACAGCUUUAAAAUGAUUCUGUAUGUUGGAGAAACCUGUUUGUCAUAAUUGUUAAUGUACUUACUGCAUUUUGUAAAUGUGUGUUAGCCAUAUUGUGGGUCAUCCUCCUCACAUGGUUGUCUCUUGGAAGCUCCAAAGGAACGUGGUGCUGUUGUACCUAUGACAUGCUAUAUAAUGCUAAGCACAAUGUGUGUACUUAAUAAUGAGUGAAGAGCAGUAUUCUAUCCAUUCCCAGCCAAGAAAGCCUUUAAUGGCUCAAUCUAAUAAUCCAUUGGAUUUAUUGUGGUCUGUAGUAGUUGUGACUUGCCUUCAGUCACAGCCAGCCAGGUUUUGGUUUGAGAAAUUAAGUACAAGUCCAUCUAAGGAAGAAGUUAGCACUUCUUAUGCUCCUCCAAAUCCCCUCUCAUUUAUAUAUAAGCUAUGGGCAGCUUACAAAAUUGAUACAUCUGUUGUAUUGAAAAAUACUUGAAAUGAAAAAAUGAUAUUGAUGGGAUUCUCUUUCCCCAAACUACACAAACCAUGGGUAAGAACCAUGAGUCUAACCAGCAAGGUUUUUGGUUCAAGUCCUGACCUGUAUUUUCCAGAAUUUCUGUUCCUCCAUCCUUCUGUUACUCCCAUCCAGUAUGGCCAAUACAAAUAUCCAAGCCUGGAUACUUGAUCCAGCCUCUUGGUUUAAUAACCUUUAACUAUGUAUCUCCUACAAAUAGCCUCAGCCCUUUCUAUUCUACCUACCACCCUGAGCUAUAUAUAUGGUUAGAAUUGCAUGGCUGCAAUAACAAAAACCCACCCAAAGUGGCUGAAACAAGUAGGAAUUUGUCUCACACAACAGUAAGUCCCAUGGCAUUUCAUCCCAGUAAUGCCAUCAGAGGUCCCGUCAGUUUUUCUGUUAUACCAUCUUUAGUACAUUAUCUUUGCCUUCCUGCCUGCUUCCUCGUGGUUACAAGUGCUUUUGUACCUCCAACUCUCCCACCUGCAUCCAAUCAGACAAAAGGGACCAGGGAAGGGAUUGAGUUGUGUUUUUUUCCUACCAAGAUUUUGCCUUAUUAGUUGGAAAGGCAAACCUUUCCCAAGGACUUCUGUUUGUAUUUCAUUGGCCAAAACUGAAUCAUAAUGGGUACCCUUAGCUGCAAGGGAGGUAAGGAAAUCAAGUAUGGCACUUCUUUCAGGUGAUCGUUAGUAGUUCU